rnacentral:rRNA from 1 species
UUAAUAAAGUUAAAGUAAAGAAGUUAAUAAAAUAAGUGAAAUUUUUUAUUAGUAGUAGAAGGUGGGUGAUACUAUGAAAAUUUUUAAAUAAACUAGGAUUAGAUACCCUAUUAUAGGAAAAGUACAAAAAGGAUUUUAGAGUAGUAAAAGAUAAUUUUUUGAAACUUAAAGAAUUUGGCGGUAUUUUAUUCUUAUUAGAGGAACCUGCCCUGUAAUUGAUACCCCACAAUAAACCAUUCUUCAAUAAAUAAUUAACUUGUAUACCGCCGUCAUCAAAUAAUUUUGAGAAAAUAUUAUUAGAGUAAUUUAAUAGUUGAAAUGUCAGGUCAAGGUGCAGUUGAUGUUGAAAGAGAGAGGUGGGUUACAAUAAAUAAAUUUAAACGGAUAAAGAGAUGAAAAAAUUAUGAAGGUGGAUUUAAUAGUAAUUAAAAUUAGUAUAUUUUUUUGAUUUAGCACUAAAAUAUGCACACAUCGCCCGUCGCUCUCAUUUUAAGAUGAGAUAAGUCGUAACAAAGUAGGGGUAUCGGAAGAUGCCCCUAGAAAGA